rnacentral:rRNA from 1 species
GAAACUGCGAAUGGCUCAUUAAAUCAGUUAUCGUUUAUUUGAUAGUACCUUACUACAUGGAUAACCGUGGUAAUUCUAGAGCUAAUACAUGCUAAAAAUCCCGACUUCGGAAGGGAUGUAUUUAUUAGAUUAAAAACCAAUGCCCUUCGGGGCUCUCUGGUGAUUCAUAAUAACUUCUCGAAUCGCACGGCCUUGCGCCGGCGAUGGUUCAUUCAAAUUUCUGCCCUAUCAACUUUCGACGGCUGGGUCUUGGCCAGCCGUGGUGACAACGGGUAACGGAGGGUUAGGGCUCGACCCCGGAGAAGGAGCCUGAGAAACGGCUACUACAUCCAAGGAAGGCAGCAGGCGCGCAAAUUACCCAAUCCCGACACGGGGAGGUAGUGACAAUAAAUACUGAUACAGGGCUCUUUCGGGUCUUGUAAUUGGAAUGAGUACAAUUUAAAUCCCUUAACGAGGAACAAUUGGAGGGCAAGUCUGGUGCCAGCAGCCGCGGUAAUUCCAGCUCCAAUAGCGUAUAUUAAAGUUGUUGAGGUUAAAAAGCUCGUAGUUGAACCUUGGGCCUAGCCGGCCGGUCCGCCUCAC